GGGCCAUUAGCUCAGUUGGUUAGAGCUACCGGCUCAUAACCGGUUGGUCCUGGGUUCGAGCCCCCGAUGGCCCACCA
rnacentral:tRNA from 2 species